GCUCGUAGUUGAAGUUUCGGGGUUAGUAGGUUGGUCAUGCCUCUGGUAUGUACUGGUCUCACUGAUUCCUCCUUCCUGAUGAGCCGUAAUGCCUAUUAAUUUGGUGUUGCGGGAAUUUGGACUGUUACUUUGAAAAAAUUAGAGUGUUUAAAGCAAGCUAACGCUUGAAUACAUUAGCAUGGAAUAAUGAAAUAGGACGUUCGAUCCUAUUUUGUUGGUUUCUAGGAUUGACGUAAUGAUUAAUAGGGAUAGUUGGGGGCAUUAGUAUUCAAUUGUCAGAGGUGAAAUUCUUGGAUUUAUUGAAGACUAACUACUGCGAAAGCAUUUGCCAAGGAUGUUUUCAUUAAUCAAGAACGAAAGUUAGGGGAUCGAAGACGAUCAGAUACCGUCGUAGUCUUAACCAUAAACUAUGCCGACUAGGGAUCGGAUGAUGUUAAUUUUUAAUGACUCAUUCGGCGCCUUACG
rnacentral:rRNA from 1 species